rnacentral:rRNA from 1 species
AAAAAACGAGGUUUGUCUGCCCAGACAGCUAGGAUGUUGGCUUGGAAGCAGCCAUUCAUUUAAAGAGUGCGUAACAGCUCACUAGUCGAGCGGACGAGCAUGGAUAAUAAUCGGGCAUAAGUAUACUACCGAAGCUAUGGAUUUAUACGUAAGUAUAAGUGGUAGGGGAGCAUUCUAACAAGGUUGAAGGUGUAUCGUAAGGUAUGCUGGACUGGUUAGAAAAGAAAAUGUAGGCAUAAGUAACGAUAAUGCGGGCGAGAAACCCGCACACCGAAAGACUAAGGUUUCCUCAGCUAUGCUAA